rnacentral:rRNA from 1 species
CGCACGGGUGAGUAACGCGUGGAUAAUCUACCCUUAAGAUGGGGAUAACGGCUGGAAACGGUCGCUAAUACCGAAUACGCUCCCGAUUUUAUCAUUGGGGGGAAAGAUGGCCUCUGCUUGCAAGCUAUCGCUUAAGGAUGAGUCCGCGUCCCAUUAGCUAGUUGGCGGGGUAACGGCCCACCAAGGCAACGAUGGGUAGCCGGACUGGGAGGUUGAACGGCCACAUUGGGACUGAGACACGGCCCAG